rnacentral:rRNA from 1 species
GUGCCAGCAGCCGCGGUAAUACGGAGGAUGCAAGCUUUAUCCGGAUUUAUUGGGUUUAAAGGGUGCGUAGGCUGUUCGACAAGUCAGGGGUGAAAGCCCGGCGCCUAACGCCGAACUGCCUUUGAUACUGCCGAGCUGGAAUACGGAUGCCGUGGGAGGAAUGAGUAGUGUAGCGGUGAAAUGCAUAGAUAUUACUCAGAACACCGAUUGCGAAGGCAUCUCACGAAUCCGUCAUUGACGCUGAGGCACGAAAGCGUGGGGAUCAAACAGGAUUAGAUACCCUGGUAGUCCACGCAGUAAACGAUGAUAACUAACCGUCGGCGAUACACAGUCGGUGGCCAAGCGAAAGCGAUUAAGUUAUCCACCUGGGGAGUACGUUCGCAAGAAUGAAACUCAAAGGAAUUGACGGGGGCCCGCACAAGCGGAGGAACAUGUGGUUUAAUUCGAUGAUACGCGAGGAACCUUACCCGGGCUCGAACGGUGCAGGAAGGAUCAAGAGAUUGUGACGCCCUUCGGGGCCUGCAUCGAGGUGCUGCAUGGUUGUCGUCAGCUCGUGUCGUGAGAUGUUGGCUUAAGUGCCAUAACGAGCGCAACCCUUGUCGCCAGUUACCAGCAAGUCAAGUUGGGGACUCUGGCGAGACUGCCACCGCAAGGUGUGAGGAAGGCGGGGAUGACGUCAAAUCAGCACGGCCCUUACGUCCGGGGCGACACACGUGUUACAAUGGCGACUACAGAGGGAGGCCACCUGGCGACAGGGAGCAGAUCUCAAAAAGUCGUCUCAGUUCGGAUCGGAGUCUGCAACUCGACUCCGUGAAGCUGGAUUCGCUAGUAAUCGCGCAUCAGCCAUGGCGCGGUGAAUACGUUCCCGGGCCUUGUACACACCGCCCGU